AAUUCCUGACAGGAAAUGUGCAGGUUUGGUGAACAAGCCAAUAGCACUAAGAAAACACCUGGAUGCAUGUCACCAGUUUUGACUCCCAAGGGAAACUGAUUUGCAAAACAUCAUCAUUCAGCUCAAUUCUUAGAGGCUAUGCAGGUUUUGCUCAGUAAACAUUGCCUUACUCAACAAAGGCUAUUACUAGUGAAGAAAGAAAAUGCCUGGUAUACAGUUGCUGUGAAGUAAAAGCCUGCAGGCAGAAUAGCUGACAUUCACUUAAAACCCUAUAAUUCUGCUAGUGAAGAAAAGAAAAUGCUCUCAACUGGCAGAUGAAAUGUACUCUUUUCCUUGUCUUCAUGUAAGAGGUCAAACAGAAAAAAAAAUCAGGAGGUCAGAAAUAAAUCAGGAACAUUAAAAAUAGUCCUUAAGACACUGCAGUUAACAGUGCUUUUCUUCCUGUAGCCUGAUCUUGCUGCAGGAAAAAAAAAAAAAAAAAAAAAAAAAAAAAAAAAAAAACCAACAACAAAAAACCUGGAGAACCUGCCAAAGCAUUAAAAGAAAUACAACUGUGUUUUGAAAGGCAAUAAAAGCAGACUGCAUGGGUAAAGGCCUGUGCCAUUCACCUUUCAUCUCUCUGAUGGUCACCCAAGGAUCUCCUUUGUGAUUAUAAAGGGUGCCAUUUUAAGACCAUUUAUGUUGUUUGGGAGAGUUAUUUGAACUGUAUCUAUGCAUUGCUGAGGUAACUUUAAUUGGGUUUCUGUUUAGGUGAUGCAAUUAAACUGUUGACCUUCUGAUAGCAAAAUAUCCAAAUGAAAUAGUCUUGUUUGGGUAGGGGUUGUUAAAAUGUAUAGUGGCUUAUUGACAUACUUGAGGUUUAUUGACCUAACCUUCUGAAGGUACCUUUUGCAAUGCAGAAAAACUCCUUUGUGCCUUGAAUUCAUUUCACAGACUUUUCUCCCCUGAUUUGUCAGGAGCAAGAGCUCAGAGCAUCCUUUGCUCUGUUUAGUGGAAAUCCUCCUGGAAUUGUGCAUCUGCAAAGAAAUUCAGUUCUUGAGUUGAACUGUGCCAUAGGAUUUCAGUUUUAGCUUGCAGAGGAACCUUUCAGCCAUCCUUUCCAGGAAGAAACCCAUGUCAGACACAGGGCAUUUGAUUCUCAGUUUUAUGUAAAGAGUUAACAACAUCUGUGUUUUUUUCCACAUAUUAGACACGCAUAAUUAAAAUAGCGUCUCAUAUCACCUUGCUGGUUUAUGAACACAGAAGGAUUGUGCAUUUAUAUUAGAUGCUCUGAUCAGACAUAGAUUAUUUCGUAAUAGUUUUGUGUAUGGAGUUAAUUUCCAGGAAGGAGGGAUAGAAGGCUGAGACCUGGAAUUCAACAUCAGUGUGAAGAGGAUCUGUCACUUCAUAGCUGUAACUGGCGUAGAUUAAGACAAACUAAAUUAAUUCACCUUCUCUUCUUUGAUAUCUGAGGGCUACUUUCCGUUCUCUGAAUUUUGACUAGACUCCUUUUCAUCACCACCCUGGAGCAAAGAUGAUGCUUUUGUCUCUGAAACACACUACACAAUCCAGUCUGCUUUCAACAUCUAAGUACCUGCACUUCCUUCUCCAUGGGUUGUAUCUGUUAGUAAUCUGAUGGAGAGACUUCUCCUUGAGCUCUUCUGUCUGCAAGAGCAGUUUGUCCUUUGUGGUUUAACUAUUUUCCUUUUUCAUAUCCUUGGGUUGUACUUUUGGAAAAAAAAAAAAUUGUAGUGACAGAUGGCAGUGGUUUUCCAUACUUAGAUUUGGAUACAGUUUCUCUUGACCUGACCAACCAGUUUGUUUCUUACCUUGUUCUCCCUGCCCCUACCCAAAACAACUUUUCUUGAUAAUUCAGGUUGCUUUCUGACUUCCAGAGGAUGCUUAUCCUUUUUCCUGUGGGGCAAUGAAAGCUGGUCCUCCCUGGUUGCUGUGAGUUGCAGGACAUAAUUUCAAGUCCUAUGCUGAAGAGUUCAAUUGUGGGAGCUAUUUUUUUUCCUCCUCCAUCCCCAGGAUUCAGAAUAAGCCAAAAGGGAAAUUAAUCUGAUGGGUUUUAGAAACAAAUUUGUAAAUUUUGUUAUAACAUACUUUUGCCACAACAGCGUUUCAAAUCCUGUUUUUAUGAAAUCCAUGGAAAUUUCCAGUGGAUCCAAGUCUGAGGUGGGUGUCUGUUACAGAGUCAGAAAACAAAAUGUGGUAUGAGUUAGAAACAGAGAUCAUAUUAACUGUUUCCUUUCCAGUUUCCUCUCGAUAGAAAGCUCUGUUGCCCCAUAUAUUUCUUCUUCAGGCUGUUUUCCUGGAGAAAGUCUGGAAGAGCAAUAGGUUAGCAGUUACUCUGCCCUGUAAGUUCAUGUUUUGUCAAAUAAUUCCCUGUGAAUGAGGUAGAAAAGGUGUGCUUUUACAGCUCGAGUUUCUUGCCAAACUACAAGGGCUCAAGGCAUCUCUUCACAAUGACAUGUCCAAGGCCAAAAGCAGUCCCCAUAUGGACCAUGAGAUUAGAAGUUUUUUGACUUAAUAACACACCUAAUUUCCCCUAAAAAGCUAAACAAGCACCAGGCUUGUUAGGAUUAUUAGUCUUUUAUGUGGUCAUUUCUUUGCUUAAUAUAUGAAAGUUAUUAGAGGCUGGAAAACAUAUAAUUUAUACAAUAUGGUAUUGGGACUCCAGGGAAAGGUACUACUGUUCAAGAAGAAAGGGAAAGUGAGACAUCUGGAAAAAAUCAGAUGAGGAAAACUAGAAUACAAGUUGGUGGAAUGGCUGCAAAAGUUUUAUUUCGCUAAAAUUCCUAGGGUGAGCUUGCAGCAUUAUUCAUUUUACAUGCCAAUUAUCCUUGCCUUUGCAUCUAUUUAUAGUUGCCCUCCUCUGGAGGCCCAGACUGAGAAACAUAGUCUUGAACUCCUUCCACACUCUUGUUGCACAAACCCAGUUCAUGCUAUUUUGGGGGCAGACACCUGCAGCCAGAGCAGUGGAGGGGCAGUGGAGAGGAGCAGGCCCUCAGAAAGGAAGGAACUAAAACAAUUUCUGUACAACAUUUAAGCCUUUGGCCAGUGCCAAAAUGGGAUUAAUCAAUUUUCCAAUAGCCCUGAAGAAAUCACGUGCCUGGUGCCCGACCACAAACUCAUCAGUGCAGGGGGAAGGCCAGGUGUUUAUGUCCAGAGUCAAAAAAGCAGCUCUGGCCACAGGUACCACCAUUCCGCCGAACUCCGGCUGCUCCACGGCAAGGGUAUGAAGCAAAUCCUGCCGACAACCCUGAACCCAGAGGUCUGGCCAUCCAUCCAUUGCACGGUCAGGGGGCUCCUAGCUGCACUGCCAGCCCUGGGUGAGCCCCGUGGGUCUCCCACAGCCCAGCUCUCUGCCCUCCCUGAGCAGGGGCCCGUGGCAGGCGCAGGGCGAGUCCGGAGGCUGUUUGGCACUGGAAGCAAACUAAUGCAAAACAUAGUCAAAGCGCUUUCAUGUGAGCUCCUGAGGAGAGGCCGGGCAGCUGUAAAGGAUAUGCACAGCCUUGGGUUUGUUUAUGAGGAGAGAGAAAGAGUUGCUGUGGGAAAGGGCUGCAUCUCUUGUGGUGUACUGUAUGUUGUUUAUACAAUAGUGCCAAGUGGCAAGCACAAACACACUCAUGACAGAGCACCUCAGGAACUGCAGAACCUCUUUUUGAUCUUCUUCAAAACCUAAAAAGGGAGAGUUGUUUAAAUUUGUACUACUGUCACUGUUGCUCAGCUGUUUGAACCUUUUUCCACCCACUUAUGUUUGCUUCUCUCUGCGCCAGUGAGUUUCUAGAGCACAUUAGAAACACUGCAGGCAAUGCCAAAGUUUGAGCAGCUGAGGUCACUUGUUCAGCCUGGAGGAGCGGAGUCUUGAUAGAUCUUAUGGUGGUCUACAUCUUCCUCAUGAGGGAAAGUGGAGACGCAAGCACCAAUCUCUCCUCUCUGGUGACCAGUGACAGGACCUGAGGGAAUGGCAUGAAGCUGUUUGGGAGGGAGUUAGGUGGGUUAUUACAAAAAGGUUCUUCCCCCAGAGGGUGGUCAGACACUGGGACAGGCUCCCUGGGGAGGUCGCCACAGUACCAAGUCUGCCGGAGUUCAAAAAGUCUCAGGUACAUGGUGUGACUCUUCAGGCUGUCCUGUACAGGGCCAGGAGUUGGACUUCGCUGAUCCUUGAGAGUCCCUUCCAACUCAGGACAUUUUGGGAUCAUAUGAAAACCAUGCUUGUCUCUUGGGAUGGAUGUUUUAUAACAGUGAAGAUCUGGGCAGUGUGAUCAUAGUUGUAUUUUGUAGCAACCUCUUUUACUGACAUGUUCGUAAAUACUAUCCCAGACUCAAAUAAAAAUUUUCUGUUAUUGUUUCAUAAGACUUUAGCAAGGUUGGUACAUUGUGUGAGUCCAGGAGUGUAAGAAUUCCUGGCUUUUCUAUCCAUACUUUGUGAAUUUAAUUUACAUUUUCAGAUUAGUUUUAUUCCCUGUAGGUAUGUCCUGGACUCCUCUUUAGUAAUUAUUUUUGAUGACUCCACUAACGCCUACUUCUUAAGACAGAGAUGAUCUAUUUCAGACUCCUCCACUGAAUUAAUUUAGCCAACAAUCCACUCAUGACUCCGGCAGAUGUUUUUACUUUCUUUCUUUCCUUCAGGCCAGUAAAAACUUUAUAAAUCUUUUCUCUACCAUUCCAGAAAUGUGAGAGCUUCCCUCCUGACACCUGAAACAUCUCACUGACCUAGUUAGCAUACAAUAGAACACAUUUGUAGAUAGUGCAGACACCUAAGUUUAAAUAAUCAACCCCCCAGUAGUUAGUCUUAUGAAGGCUUGAGCCAGAUUAGACUAGUAUCCACAAAACUAGGUUUUUCUUAAGAAUACUUACUCCUGGGGUUCAUAUAUCCACAAUUCAACAGCUGUCAACUUAAUUAUCUACUGUAGCAAGUCCAAAUGCUUAUGCUGGUUGCCCCUGUUCUUUAUAUAAUAACAUUGUGUCUCCCCUCCUAGUAUGCACAUCAGUAGCCAUGAAAUUAAUGGACUAUUUCCACUGAUCUCAGGAAAUGUUAACCAAAGGUCUGUAGAAAAUGCAUGAGAUCCUGUUCCAAAUCAAGUCUGAGACAUGCUCUUGCCAAUCUUUCCUUUGUCUCCAUUUUGAGAUGCUAAAUCAUUGGUCUGCUCUCCCAUUGAAGAAGACCUGGGAGUUCAAAGACGCUACUUCAGACUCUCUUUCCAUGUGCCCUUUAUGGCUUGUCCUCUUUGGAAGCAUUCAGCUAUAUUGAUUAUUUCCAGGGAAAGAGUGAGGUGAACUGAUUGUUAUAGUCUAUCCCUCCCAAGACUAGGGGAAACAAAAGUUUUUGGAACUAAGUUUUGCUAAAAAGUCAAAGAUUAAUUGGUUAUGGAGGCUAAAUUAUCCUUUCACUUUAUAAUUUAUUAGAAAACUUAAUGGCAUUGUAACUAGAGGCUGUUAGAAGCCUUCGUGAUGAUGAAUAAUUAUGACAUGAUGAGACAUGUCUGAGGAGGAAUUUUUGAAAUCACUCUAAUGAGAAUAAAAUAGAGAUUAGUAUUCCAGAGAAAAUACAUAAACUCACAAAACUGCAAAUUAAGAUUAGCAUACACUUUUGUGGUUCGUUUUGGUUUUAUUUUUUGGGUUUUUAAUUGUGAAAUUGUUGGAAUUUUUCCAAAAUAGUAGCGUAAGAGGGGGUAUUUUGUAUCUUAUUAUCUCUGUGCUAAUUGCAUCUUAUUUACAGCCACUUUAAAAGAAAAUUCCCAUCAGGGCAAUACGUUAUUUCAGUUUUCUUCAUAAAGGAGUGGUAUGGGGAUCUCUCCCUUGUCAUUCUGUCUUAGUGCCAUUCUUUUUCUUCUGAUUCUCAAUAAGCCUGCAAGUUAUCUAUGUAUAAUUUGCAGUAUUUGACUCUGAAAAUGUGUGUUGUACUCCCUGGACAUCCUGGUAUUUCACACCUACCUGGCUGUUUUCUGCUUUCAGUGCAUUCUCUGCAACUGCAAAUCCCAAAUGAUUGCAUCAGUUAAAAUUUAGUGUUAGUGGAUCUAUGGGAUGGAUUCACUCAGGUUCUAUGCUGUGCUGAGGAACAGCCAUUAGUGUAAAAUUCACAGAAAUUAGAUAAAAUUAUGAACACUUUAUCCAAAAAACUCAUUACCUCACAAAAAAGUAAUAACUUGGUUAGGACAACUAUAAAAUUUGCACUUCCAUCCAGCCACAACAGUAGAGUAUAAUCAAAAUGAAAUUUUGUUCUUCUUUCUCUCUUUUUACCCUAUUUGAAAGAAAACAUUUAGACUUGUGGCUUUCUGUAAGAUUUACAGAUAAUUCAUGUAAGACAAUGUCUGGGAUCUGACUUUCAGAUGUAGUGAGUAGCUGUAACUCAGGUUUUCAUUUGCAACAGGUAUAGGAAAUGCCUGCUCUUGCACAGGAGGCAGUGUAAUUCAGGAGCUGCUUUGUAAAACCAGUGCUGUUGUCCUGGUAGUGAUGGAAGUAGUAGUAAUUCAGGGGACAGAUGUAAUGAGAGUGCCAUUUGCUUAUAAAAUGCCAAACGAUGGAAAUAACCAUUGCUCACUUGCAAAUGGGGUGAGAUAGCUGCGUGUGCUUAUUAACCUUGAGCACCUAUUUUAUUAAUAAUAUUGCUGUGAACGUUGUGUUUAAACUAUCAAUCCUCUAUUAAGCCUGAGAGCAGACAGCCAAAGCUGUGGGGUUCUUUCAUACCUUGAAAGGCAUGUUUUGCAGGACAACAUACCCACUGGGGGACACCUGCUAAUAACCUUCAAAUUGUCCACUCUAGGUCACCUUACCGUAUAUCAUGACUGCCUUAACUCACGUCCUCAACAAUAGUCUGACUACUUUCACCUGUAGUGGGUUUUCCUAGGAGCAACCUGCUGAAUUUGAGAAAUUUGAUCCCGUCUUGGUUUAAUGGGAUUUUUAUCUCUGACACCCAUGAGGCAGGGUUGAGGUUUUGAUGAGCUGUGAGAAACAUCAAUCUAGCUGUAUUGUCCAUCUUUCUGGAAUAGUCACCUAGAGAGGGCAUAGGAGCUCUUGAUGCAGAGAGCAGGUAUGCAAUGGGGAAAGGUGCUGCUUCUUUGCAGCUGCUUUGCUGAGAACACUCCUGUAAUGAUUUCAGACUUAGAAACAAUGUGCUUACCAACAGCAGAAAUAAGUCCAAACCGUUAAUAGCUGCUCAGAUUUUAGGCUGAAUGUUUGGGGAUCUCCUAAGCCUCUACAAGUGUUUUCUGUGUCUGUCUGGCAAAAGAAGCAAAUAGUGUUCUACCAUUAAUACUGUUACUGUAAUCCUGUAUUAUUUGUCCAUGUUUUACACAGCAUUGUUAUCCUCCCUAAGGACUAGACUUUGGCCAGUGUUGCAUUCUCAUCAGUGAGGGAUGGCUUGUGCAUCUGGGUUUUACAUCAGCUCUUUCAUUUGUAUGGAACUCAUUCAGAAAAGUGACUGAACUGUUUUUCAAAAGUGGGAUGCUGUAGUUUUAUACCUAUUGAGUGCCAAAAGACUUAGGUUUAUGUGUCCUUGUUUCUGGUUGCAGGAAAAGACAUCAAUACAGAACACAUAUGAAAUUCUGCCUGUAUAAUAAAGAAUAUUCUUUGACUACACUGUUUCCAGUGUAAACUACUGAACUUGCAAACGCAAGUUGUAUGGGAGAUAAGCCAAGGUGAUGAAGUCCAAGUGAGAUGAGGAAGCACAGAGACUGUAAACACAUUAUCUGCUAUUAAAGGAAACAUGUGUUGUAAAGAUAUAGGGUCUUGUCUUUUAUUUUGGUAAGAAUAAGUUGUUUUUUUUCUGAUACAGGUGGCAAAUUUACCAAGGAAAACAUCCGCCAGAGAGCAGAGAACAAGGAUAUCCUGAACUAAUUUAUGCUCUUCAUUUGAAACAUUGAUGGCUGGUAUUGAGAGUAAAGCAAGGAAGCUGUGAAAAUUUGGGGGCUCCUGAUGUCUUUAACAUAUUUCUAGCAAUGCCUUUCAUGAAAAUUUUUGUUCUUUGUGAAUUUGAAAAUAGAGGCAUAAACCAGGUAAGUAUAAUGAAAACUUGGUAUAAAAUAGAAAAAAUAAUUUAAAUAUUAUCAUUUAGACUAAUAUAUUUCAAGUUAUUAUAUUAAUUCAGAUUUAUUGUCAUGUCUAUCUUUUAUUAAUUAUAUAGAAUACUGAGAUCCUACACCAUUACCAUCAACUUGUAAAGUUGAUGUAAAGUAAAGCUUGUGGAAAGUGAAAUUUGCAUUGAUACUGUUCAAUUCAACACAAGCAAGCUACAGAUUAUGGCAAAAUUAAUUUUUAAAACAUCACCGACACAUUUUAGAAUCACAGAUUAUUCUGAAUUGGAAGGGACGCACAAGGAUCAUAGAGUCCAACUCCUAAGUGAAUGGUCUAUAUGGGGAUUGAACCAAAAACCUUGGUGUCACUAGCACCAUGCUCCCACCAACUGAGCUAAUCAUGUUUGCAUCACUUUUUUUUUUAUUAUUAUGGCCACAGGUACAAAUUGAGAAAUUAUUUUUUGGAGGUGCAAUUUUUGUGAAGCAAAUGAGUCAUAUUGAUAGAUCUGGUUCAGAUGAUGAUCUGACAGAUGAUUUAGAUUCAUAGAGAAUUUGCAGAUGCCACUUGUGACUUUCUGUUGUAGUUACUGGGAACAGAUUUUUAAUUCUUUGUUGCUGUUUGAGACAGAUAGUUUUAUUUGUUUCAAUUUUUAAAUAAAACCAAGCUGUUUGUAUCUUUGAAUAUGUUUACUGCAUCAGCUAGGAAGCCAUUUAAAUGGUAACAGUGCUAGUGAGCAUACUGGAGUACCAAAAAAAAAUAUUUUGAUAGAUAGAUCAUAGGUCUUUUUAAGAUCAAAAGCAUAUAUUUGAUUGAAAUCACACGAUGUAACUGAUAUCAUUAAAACAAAUAUCCCAAAUGAGCCAUCCCUCACCCUUCAUACCAAAGGGGUGACAUAAUUUCUGCACAUUGUAUUGAUAGUUUUUGUCAUUCAGUACAGAGGUCAGACAAGUAAGCUGGGAAAGCAAGUUGUGUUCCAAAAGGCCACACCAAAUCCCAGCAUGAGCUUUUUAUCUUCUUUGAAUGUAAGAUCAGAAGAAAUUAACUUUUACUCUGUUUUGUCCACCUGUGUUUACUGUAGCUAGGGGACCUAUUGCUUCUCUAUUUGGAUUCUAUUUAUUUAAAAGCAAAAUGAGAACAGAAGGGUAUAUGGGAAGACUCCUAAUAUGGCAAAUUUGGCAAAAGGAGUCUGUACAUUUCCACCCCACACAGUGGUAACUUCAGAGCAGACUGCUGAUUGUUUGCCUGGCUAAUUUUUCUCCUGUGCUUCCUACUUUAGGGUAUGGCUCCUACAGCAUCAGUCUCAUUCUUUAGAUGUUGUGGAAAAUGGCAUUUGCAUUGAAGUCAGUGAUAGCUGAGUGCAUGCACUGGAGAAAAUAAACACAAACAUUGCUUUCAUUGUCUCUUCCUUCCUCUAUUAUGUAUGCUAAACUUUUGCUUGUGUUGUUUUUUUUGUUACAGAGAUACCAGGAAUACCACUGGAAGUUGUGUCUUCCAGUUCCUUCCUUAAGGAAGGACAAGGAAUCAGUUUUUUAUUUUUAUGUUUUUAAUGAUGGAAGAGUACCAAGUCACAACUCUGAAACUUGUUCUACUAUGAAAAUAGCCCUGCUGCGAACAUAGCAUGGCUUUGUUUUGCUAUUCCACAGAAAAAAAUCAAGAAGCUGAUGAGCAAAUGGAAAAAUAUGUUGGGAAAAAAAAAAAAUUUCGUAUAAAAAUUUGCACAUGUUUAUCCUUAGAAACAUUUACAAAAGGUAGAUGUCUUUUGUUAGGUUCUGAAACAACCUGUUCACUGAACAAUAUGUAACAGUUGAGCUAAAUGCUGUUUGCUUUUAUCAUAGUAGCAGCAGAAUGGAUGUGACAGUGCCUUUAUUACUGUUUGCAAAGAAAGGUAUGCAAAUUCAGGUUCAUACUGCUUGCCAGACACAGAAUACUCUCUGUAUGGAGAGAGAAAUUAGUUUCCAUUUUAAUGCAAAUUUUCCUGCUUAUUGUCUAUCGAGCUUUUCUGUCGUAUUUGGACAUACUGCACGUCAAGCACUUGCAUUAUUUCCAGAAAUCCCACUGAGAUAUGAGGGGAUAUGUAAAACAGUCAGAGAGGCAAAUUAAUGCUAUUUCUUUCUGCCUUCUCUGUAUUUCAUCAUUGAUUGAAGACACAAUGUGGGAAAAAAGAUUUUGACAUCCCUAGUUGAAGUAGUGCAUUUUUCAGACCACUGUUAUUCAUAUAGCUUUUUAUGUAAAAUGUGUUCAUUGUGUCAAGAAGACACGAAAACCCCAGCAGUCAUCUCAGAUUGCACUGUGUGGUACAGACUGCGAGGGAAUGAUGAACUAAAGUUGCUGUGUUCAACAUAGAAUGAGUUCUUUGCUGUUAGAACAUUUUAGUUUUGGAAGUGGUAGAAGAGAGACGAGGAAAAUAUGGCAGGGAUAGAAAGCGAGAUUUUAAAAAGUCUAUCAGAAGGAUUUCCUGUUUAUCUCACAGCUAAUCCGUUGGAACACUGUCCUGGGAUGUGAGUUUAUGUUUCCUCUCCAGCUGAAGCAACUCUCCUCAGAGAUGCCAUCCCCUCCUAAUGUUUCAGAGAUGAGAGUCCUUCUCACGCUGUGGCAGAUUCCCAGGUCCUGCCUACUGGAAUUGCACCAGUGCUGAGCAAGUGCUCAGCUUUUGCCCGCUCCCCUGGGAAGCAGGACUGUCAGGUUCUAUGUUGCAUGUCCUACUUUGGAUGGAGUACAGUCCAAAAAUUCAGAUAACUGCUAUGUACACCUGGGGUCUGAGCCCUCUCUUGAAAUUUAGAAAUACGUGUUCAAGCUGUCUCAAGCAGAGGAAGGAAUCAAACUGAGGUUUCCAGUACCUAGGAGACAUCCUCAAGUCAGUGGGGAGACAGAAGUCAUGCUCACUAAUAUUGUCCCAAGAUAUUCCCUGGCUACUCUGCAGCCACAUAAGUGUUAAAUGGGACACCUGGAAUGGAAACCUAGAACAGUUUUUUCUGUGUUUUUACCGCAUGAAAUCAAGUAUUGCAUAUCAUACCUCUAGUUUAAUAAAGCUUGUGGGUUUAUAAUUAUCUUGGUGACUUUUGGCCUGUGUUCAUUUUGGACUGAAAUGCUUCUAUAGCCCCCCCAAAUACUUGGGAGUGGGAAAUACGAUUAUGUAUGCCUGGUUUUCUGAAAAAAUGAGAACCCUUGCUUCUACCUCUUCUACUUUUGUUGCUGUAAUUCUCUUGGUAUUUUUAACAAGCCUUGAGCACUUUUGGGGUGAGGUGGGCAUGGGGAAUGUAUUCAUUUGACUCUACUGUCCACAGAAUUUUUAAAAAUGCUUCUUUCUUAUUUUUAGAAGAUAUUUAUAAGUUGCCCAUAUAGUAUGUGAACUCAUGAAUAGCAUCACAAGAUGACUAUUUAAGUGCAACGCAGAAUUCCUCAGCUUUAUUUGCAUCUUCUUUUUUUGGCACAUUUCCAACAAAUGCAUGAUACUUAGGUAUGUAAUUCAUGAAAUUUAUAUCCUCACUGUAUUUUUGUAGAGUCUUUUUUUUCCUUGUCUAUUCUUAGUGAAUAAAGAAAUUUUGCUUUUUUAAACAAGAUCUACUACAGUACAAUUCUAAGAUAAUUUCUAUUGAUGAAAACUCCCCAGGUGAUUAGCAGACUAUACUAGAAACCACUCAUCAAUACUGUCCCUUUGUAAAAUGUCUUUGGAUUUCAAUAGAGGUGCUUUAUGGAGACUGCAUCCAUGGCAUCUGGAUUUUCAUUUCUAAAAAAAUUUGAACGCUGAAAGACCAUAUAUAUAACAUUAAUUCUAAGUGACAUAGCACUUACAGAAUGUAAUUAAAAUGUUACCUAAGAGCUUAUCAUUCUGUGCACUAUAUUUUUGUUCUUACAAUCUUUCUUAAUUGAGAAGUCCAUUUGGUUGAGUAUAUUUUUAAUCCCUCCACAAUUUCAUAUUGUUGUUUUUCUAAAUUUGUUCUGAAUGUAAGAAUAGAUAUAGAAACCGUCCACCAGGUGGUUACUUUAUAUAAAGCUACAUUUUAAAAAAAUCUUGGGGUUUGGCAAAAAGUGUAGUCUACUUCACUCCUUAUCACCCUUAUUCCUAUUAACAUAAUUACCAUUAAUUACAUUUUCCUGUAAUUUCAAAUUAUAAUUUUCCCCUGGCCAUAUUGAUUGGAAUUUUUUGUUGGUUUGGUUUGUUUUUUUGGUUUUUUUCGGUUCAUUGGUUGUAGGGUUUUCUGGUAGGUUGAACUUUGCGUUCUAGAGUAGAGAUGGAAGUCUGUCCACCAUUCCACAGAAACUGGGUCAGCAUGUGUUGGAGAUCUUAGGGUUCAUGUCCUCAUUACAUGUUCUCUCUUCUGAAUUCUUUUCUAUUUUUCACUGCAAUCUAUUUUUCAUUGGCUUUUCUCUCAUUAAUACCACAAAAAGGUCAAACUGAACUUUUCAUCUCAUCCAGUUUUGGUUUUCUGUUUUUUGGUUUUCUUUGUGAAGUCAAAAUUAGGCAAAAAAUAAUUUGUCUAUCCUUGACUGAAAACCUCUUUUUAAAAUCUACACUAAUAGCACUGGGAUGGAAAAAUAGGUUGGAUAGACUUUUAAUCCUUAAAA